AUGUUAAUAAACAUGAAACCGUGCGGCUCAACUUUGGGAGAACAGCUUUCGUCCAUAAUGGACGUACUUACGAAAGCAGCCGUAUCUGAAAUUAGCCAGCUGUUCUCGGAAGGCUCGGCUACUCUUCACUUACAAAUAACUCGGAGCCUGAAAGAAAACGAGACGCUGAGGACGAAGAUGAAGGUGAUGAGGAGUGAGCUGUUUACUUUGCGGCUUCAAACAAGACCAAAUGCAUCGCGUGCAAGUCGUUUGGCCCUGGCUCGAGCCAACAUCUGCAAACCAGGGACUACAUCAAUGGGAAAUGAAGACUGCGAUGACUUUGGAGACCGCAGCACACAGCACGCCACCCCGGUGAGUCUGCAUGGGGACGCCCCUGGCUCCUCCCGCAUGUCCAGUCACAGAGAGGAGCUGAGGAUCCUGAACGUCUACGGAAAUGGGGAGGGCCCACUGGCGGUAGACUGCCAUGACACCCUCUUCACUGUGUCCGAAGUCGAGGCCCUGAGCUCACUGUCUGCGGAUCACAGCGUGGCCAAGAGCCUGGAGUGCGGCGAGCGACUUGUCCGCCUUGAGGAGCUGACUGGGCAGGUUGGAAAUCAUCUUCUCAUUCAUGUAACGGAUGCUUCCAACUCCAGCACACACCUUAAUGAUUCAGUGUGUCGUUAGUGGGAAUUGACCACUAUUCUGUGCAAAUUAAAGUGUCUAAUGUGGGUUUCCUUCUUUAUUUGGAAAGCAGCAGACCCCAGACCCCAUUUUAAUCAAGGAGGAAGAGGAUAUUGGUGGAGGCAUGCCACCUGUAGGUUAGUAAUACACAUUGCAUCUAUAAAAGCAAGCAAGCCAGCAACGACCUGGAUCAACUGAAAAUGUACUUGAUUCUACCAGCGCUCAAAAGCCUGGUCCUCUUUUGAAAGCGCAUCAUGACCGGAGCCCUGCUAUAACACAAAGAAUAUCCUUAAAAGGGGGAGACGUAGCAGUGCCUUCUCAGCUGGAGCCUUUGACCCUUGACAACCUCAAGGGGUACAAGGAAAAGGCAUAUUCAACAAAUAGAAGCUUUAAAGAAAGAUUGUCAAAAUCCAUCAAAUUUAAAAGUGUGUACAAAGGUAUCCCUUUGUGCAAAUAAUGAAUGAAUACGAAUAUUAUUAAUUAAUUACUUGAACAAAUACAGUACUCUUUGUUUUCCUCUCUGCAGAAGCCUUUGACGUUGGAGACCGCAGCACACUGCGUGGCGGCACCACGGAUAGUCUGCAUGUGG
rnacentral:lncRNA from 1 species